CCCUGGUAGUCCACGCUGUAAACGAUGUCUACUAGCCGUCGGGGUCCUUAGUGACUUUGGUGGCGCAGCUAACGCGAUAAGUAGACCGCCUGGGGAGUACGGCCGCAAGGUUAAAACUCAAAUGAAUUGACGGGGGCCCGCACAAGCGGUGGAGCAUGUGGUUUAAUUCGAUGCAACGCGAAGAACCUUACCAGGUCUUGACAUCCUCGGAACUUGGCAGAGAUGCCUUGGUGCCUUCGGGAGCCGAGUGACAGGUGCUGCAUGGCCGUCGUCAGCUCGUGUCGUGAGAUGUUGGGUUAAGUCCCGUAACGAGCGCAACCCUUGUCCUUAGUUGCCAGCACGUCAUGGUGGGAACUCUAGGGAGACUGCCGGUGACAAACCGGAGGAAGGUGGGGACGACGUCAGGUCAUCAUGGCCCUUACGACCUGGGCUACACACGUGCUACAAUGGCUGGUACAGAGGGUUGCGAAGUCGCGAGGCGAAGCUAAUCCCUUAAAGCCAGUCGUAGUCCGGAUCGGAGUCUGCAACUCGACUCCGUGAAGUCGGAAUCGCUAGUAAUCGCGGAUCAGAAUGCCGCGGUGAAUACGUUCCCGGGCCUUGUACACACCGCCCGUCACACCAUGGGAGUGGAUUGCACCAGAAGUGGCUAGUCUAACUACGGAGGACGGUCACCACGGUGUGGUUUCAUGACUGGGGUGAAGUCGUAACAAGGUAACCAU
rnacentral:rRNA from 1 species